rnacentral:misc_RNA from 1 species
GAUGAAGAACGUAGCGAAAUGCGAUAAGUAAUGUGAAUUGCAGAACUCAGUGAAUCAUCGAAUCUUUGAACGCACAUUGCGCCCCCUGGCAUUCCGGGGGGCAUGCCUGUCCGAGCGUCAUUUCUGCCCUCAAGCACGGCUUGUGUGUUGGGUGCGGUCCCCCCGGGGACCUGCCCGAAAGGCAGCGGCGACGUCCGUCUGGUCCUCGAGCGUAUGGGGCUCUGUCACUCGCUCGGGAAGGACCUGCGGGGGUUGGUCACCACUAUAUUUUACCACGGUUGACCUCGGAUCAGGUAGGAGUUACCCGCUGAACUUAAGCAUAUCAAUAAGCGGAGGA